AAAGGGGGAGAUCCUGGUGAUCCGGAGGGGGUGGCUGACCAUCAACAACAUCAGCAUCAUGAAGGGGGGAUCCAAGGAAUAUUGGUUCGUGCUGACGGCGGAGUCGCUCUCCUGGUACAAGGAUGAGGAGGUAGAAAUGGGAAAAACCGGGAA